rnacentral:rRNA from 1 species
UCGGGAAUUUUGGGCAAUGGGCGAAAGCCUGACCCAGCAACGCCGCGUGGAGGAUGAAGUAUUUCGGUAUGUAAACUUCGUAAGAAUAGGAAGAAUAAAUGACGGUACUAUUUGUAAGGUCCGGCUAACUACGUGCCAGCAGCCGCGGUAAUACGUAGGGACCAAGCGUUGUUCGGAUUUACUGGGCGUAAAGGGCGCGUAGGCGGUGUGUCAAGUCAGUUGUGAAAUCUCCGAGCUUAACUCGGAACGGUCAACUGAUACUGUCACACUAGAGUACAGAAGGGGCAAUCGGAAUUCUUGGUGUAGCGGUGAAAUGCGUAGAUAUCAAGAGGAACACCUGAGGCGAAGGCGGGUUGCUGGGCUGAUACUGACGCUGAGGCGCGAAAGCUAGGGUAGCAAACGGGAUUAGAUACCCCGGUAGUCCCUGAGCGGGCUGGCAAGGCGCAU